CCAAUAGGGCUGCUUUGCAGGCUACUUUGAUAUAGUAGACUUAGGACUUUUGUGUUUCAUUGGU
rnacentral:tRNA from 1 species